rnacentral:rRNA from 1 species
UACGGGGGGGGUAAGCGUUGUUCGGAAUUACUGGGCGUAAAGGGCUCGUAGGCGGCCAACUAAGUCAUACGUGAAAUCCCUCAGCUUAACUGGGGAACUGCGUGUGAUACUGGAUGGCUUGGAUUUGGGAGAGGGAUGCGGAAUUCCAGGUGUAGCGGUGAAAUGCGCAGAUAUCAGGAGGAACACCGAUGGCGAAGGCAGGUCUCUGGGCCAUAACUGACGCUGAGAAGCGAAAGCAUGGGGAGCGAACAGG